rnacentral:lncRNA from 1 species
CCUACGGUUCAGAUACAAACGGAAUCAGAGCUCACUACCACGACAGGUAACAAGGCCUUGAAUCGGACACGUACACGAGGAUCCCGAUCCAAUAGAUUGCGGUGGCUAUUUCCCCGGUCUCACUCGACCGGACACUCCUUGGUUCAGCCUGGGGAAGACACUGAGCGGUUUACUCUCCGGUUGCCAGUGGAGAUAAGAAAGCAAGUUGUGAACCGGAAGCUGAACCGGGCGAUGAGUAUGGUGGUUUUGGCCAGGCAGAGCAGUUCGAUGAGAGGAUACAGGUUUGGUUCAGGUGAAGGGAGUAGUCGAGGGAAGUAUUACCGGAGGCUCGAGCGGUUGGACCGAACAUCGAAGUCGGACCGGUGGGUGUUGUC